rnacentral:lncRNA from 10 species
CUCGUGUUUUAAGACGGCUACAUUUUAAUUUUGAGCUGGGAGUCUCGGUCUCUUGCCCAGGCUGGAGUGCAGUGAGGCGAUCUCGGAUCCCUGCAACCUCCGCCUCCCGGAUUCAAGUGAUUCUCCUGCCUCAGCCUCCCGAGCAGCUGUGACUACAGGCGUGUGACACCACACCCGACUAAUUUUUGUAUUCCCAGUAGAGAUGGGGUUUCACCACGUUGGUCAGGAUGGUCUCAAACGCCUGACCUUGUGAUCCUUCAGCCUCAGCCUCCCACGGUGCUGGGAUUACAGGCGUAAGCCACUGCACCUGGCCGGGACUUAGAUUUAUAUUCCCUGAAGUAAUACAGGGCCUUAGAUGGAAUAAACGAUUUAUAUUGGUGCUAAUUGGGCAGAAAAGAAAAAGCAUUGCUGUAAUAUGAAUGUUGAUGACUUUAUGUUCUGAAAAAUAGUCUGGGUCAAAGUGAAAC